rnacentral:misc_RNA from 1 species
AAAAUGCGAUACGCAAUGCGAAUUGCAGAAUUCCGCGAAUCAUCAGAUCCUUGAACGCAACUGGCGCCAUAGGGAUAUCCUUAUGGCAUGCCUGUUUCAGUGUCUGAAAACAUCCAAUACAUUGUAAUGUGUUUGACGGAGUUGUCGAGCUCUUGCAGUUCGUCAACAAGUCUUACAUUAAAGAUGUAUGCGUGGGUCUUCGGGUCCCAUCGAAUUGGUCACUGACAUCUCGGUGAUUUCGACUGUGGAUAUUGGUAUUUUACUAUAUCAAAAACCGAAGUUUCACCCAACUACGCAUAGAACCAAAACAUACAACUUCAACAUCUGCAUCUGAAAUCAGGCAAGAACACCCGCUGAACUUAA